rnacentral:misc_RNA from 1 species
UUUCCGUAGGUGAACCUGCGGAAGGAUCAUUGCACACACGAUGCAGCAAACUAGCGAACUGUGUUUGUCCCCCACCUACCCCAAACACGAGGGGCCGCAUCUGGAGGUGCGGCUGUCGACGGCAAGGUCCCGACCUUCGGGUCCCCGCAGUGGUUCCCGCAAGCGGGCUGAUCAUGUCGCCGUCUGGGUGUCCCGCGCGGGCUCUCGCCUUGCCUUAGGGUUGGGCGACGCGGGCAUUCUCCUCCCUUCGAUGGCGUCGUCCCCUCCUCCGGGAGAGCGCCACGCCUCGAGGGCCGUUUACACCUUUGCACCAUCUACAACACCAGUGACUGAGGAUACCUGUGUCCCGGUUCCGCUGCUGCCCUCGGGUGGUGCGGGACUGGUCCAUAGGAACAAGAGUAAAUAAAAACAACUCUCAGCAACGGAUAUCUUGGCUCUU